AUUGAACGCUGGCGGCAGGCCUAACACCUGCAAGUCGAGCGGAGCGGCGGACGGGUGAGUAAUGCCUAGGACUCUGCCUGGUAGUGGGGGAUAACGUCCGGAAACGGGCGCUAAUACCGCAUACUAUCAGAUGAGCCUAGGUCGGAUUAGCUAGUUGGGGGGGUAAAGGCCUACCAAGGCGACGAUCCGUAACUGGGCUGAGAGGAGGAUCAGUCAGACUGUAACUGAGAAACGGUCCAGGCUCCUCCGGGAGGCAGCAGUGGGGAAUAGGGGGCAAGGGGCGAAAGCCUGCUCCAGCCAUGCCGCGUGAGUGAAGAAGGUCGUCGGAUUGUAAAGCACUUUAAGUUGGGAGGCGUUACCAACAUAAUAAGCACCGGCUAACUUCGUGCCAGCCGCCGCGGUAAUAC
rnacentral:rRNA from 1 species